UGGGGAAUAUUGGACAAUGGGGGCAACCCUGAUCCAGCAAUGCCGCGUGAGUGAAGAAGGCCUUCGGGUUGUAAAGCUCUUUUACCAGGGAAGAUGAUGACGGUACCUGGGGAAUAAGCUCCGGCUAACUUCGUGCCAGCAGCCGCGGUAAUACGAAGGGAGCUAGCGUUGUUCGGAAUUACUGGGCGUAAAGGGCGCGUAGGCGGCGUGAUAAGUCAGAUGUGAAAGCCCCGGGCUUAACCUGGGAACUGCAUAUGAUACUGUCAGGCUAGAGAUCGAGAGAGGAAAGUGGAAUUACGAGUGUAGAAGUGAAAUUCGUAGAUAUUCGUAGGAACACCGGUGGCGAAGGCGACUUUCUGGCUCGAUACUGACGCUAAAGCGCGAAAGCGUGGGGAGCAAA
rnacentral:rRNA from 1 species